CCGAAAGAGAGCGAGCGAAGAACCAGACCACACCGGGAGGAGAGAGUUUGGGACCGGAACAUCAGUAGCACUUUCAAGGAAUCUGUUACUCAGAAUGUACCUGUAGCGAAGAUCGAGAAGGUAACUGACCAAAAUCGUGAUGUACGUGCAAACACCUCUGCUCACCAUCUGCAUGUGUAAAUUUCUCACAUACAAAUGUCCUACUGAGGUUCGUACAUUUUCAAGACACAAACUACUGUUGAGGAGCCUAAGGUCUGUUGAUGAGCAUAUGUGAUUACGUGAGGCUGGAGAUGGAAGAUGAAGUGUGAAAAUGGAGCGACCUGUGGGAGUCUCACAGCCUGCAAAAAAUCAAUAUUACUUUCC